rnacentral:rRNA from 1 species
AGUGAACGCUGGCGGUAGGCCUAACACAUGCAAGUCGAACGGCAGCACAGUAAGAGCUUGCUCUUACGGGUGGCGAGUGGCGGACGGGUGAGGAAUACAUCGGAAUCUACUUUUUCGUGGGGGAUAACGUAGGGAAACUUACGCUAAUACCGCAUACGACCUACGGGUGAAAGCAGGGGAUCUUCGGACCUUGCGCGAUUGAAUUAGCCGAUGUCGGAUUAGCUAGUUGGCGGGUUAAAGGCCCACCAAGGCGACGAUCCGUAGCUGGUCUGAGAGGAUGAUCAGCCACCCUGGAACUGAGACACGGUCAAGAGUCCUACGGGAGGCAGCAGAGGGGAAUAUUGGACAAUGGGGGCAAGCCUGAUCCAGCCAUCCCGCGUGUGUGAAGAAGGCCUUCGGGUUGUAAAGCCCUUUUGUUGGGAAAGAAAAGCAGCAGGUUAAUACCCCGCUGUUCUGACGGUACCCAAAGAAUAAGCACCGGCUAACUUCGUG